GCUGGCGGCGUGCUUAACACAUGCAAGUCGAACGAUGAAGCCCAGCUUGCUGGGUGGAUUAGUGGCGAACGGGUGAGUAACACGUGAGUAACCUGCCCUUGACUCUGGGAUAAGCCUGGGAAACUGGGUCUAAUACUGGAUAUUCAGCUUCCAUCGCAUGGUGGUUGCUGGAAAGGGUUUCUGGUCAAGGAGGGACUCGCGGCCUAUCAGCUUGUUGGUGAGGUAAUGGCUCACCAAGGCGACGACGGGUAGCCGGCCUGAGAGGGUGACCGGCCACACUGGGACUGAGACACGGCCCAGACUCCUACGGGAGGCAGCAGUGGGGAAUAUUGCACAAUGGGCGAAAGCCUGAUGCAGCGACGCCGCGUGAGGGAUGACGGCCUUCGGGUUGUAAACCUCUUUCAGUAGGGAAGAAGCGAAAGUGACGGUACCUGCAGAAGAAGCGCCGGCUAACUACGUGCCAGCAGCCGCGGUAAUACGUAGGGCGCAAGCGUUAUCCGGAAUUAUUGGGCGUAAAGAGCUCGUAGGCGGUUUGUCGCGUCUGCCGUGAAAGUCCGGGGCUUAACUCCGGAUCUGCGGUGGGUACGGGCAGGCUAGAGUGCUGUAGGGGAGACUGGAAUUCCUGGUGUAGCGGUGAAAUGCGCAGAUAUCAGGAGGAACACCGAUGGCGAAGGCAGGUCUCUGGGCAGUAACUGACGCUGAGGAGCGAAAGCAUGGGGAGCGAACAGGAUUAGAUACCCUGGUAGUCCAUGCCGUAAACGUUGGGCACUAGAUGUGGGGAACAUUCCACGUUUUCCGCGUCGUAGCUAACGCAUUAAGUGCCCCGCCUGGGGAGUACGGCCGCAAGGCUAAAACUCAAAGGAAUUGACGGGGGCCCGCACAAGCGGCGGAGCAUGCGGAUUAAUUCGAUGCAACGCGAAGAACCUUACCAAGGCUUGACAUGGACUGGAUCGCCCUAGAAACUAGGGUUUCCCUUCGGGGCUGGUUCACAGGUGGUGCAUGGUUGUCGUCAGCUCGUGUCGUGAGAUGUUGGGUUAAGUCCCGCAACGAGCGCAACCCUCGUUCCAUGUUGCCAGCACGUGAUGGUGGGGACUCAUGGGAGACUGCCGGGGUCAACUCGGAGGAAGGUGGGGACGACGUCAAAUCAUCAUGCCCCUUAUGUCUUGGGCUUCACGCAUGCUACAAUGGCCGGUACAAUGGGUUGCGAUACUGUGAGGUGGAGCUAAUCCCAAAAAGCCGGUCUCAGUUCGGAUUGGGGUCUGCA
rnacentral:rRNA from 1 species